GACGAACGCUGGCGGCGUGCCUAAUACAUGCAAGUCGAGCGAAGUUUUUCUGGUGCUUUCACCGGCUCAACUUAGCAGCGAACGGGUGAGUAACACGUAACGAACCUUCCUCAUAGACUGAGCCACCUAUUGCUAACGCUAGCUCAUACCGGAUAAUCGCAUUACCUGCAUGGUUGAUGUUUAAAAGUUCGUUUUGCUAACACUAUGAGAUUGCUUUGCGGUGCAUUAGCUAGUUGGGGGGGUAAAGGCCUACCAAGGCGACGAUGCAUAGCCGACCGGAGAGGGGGAUCGGCCACACGAGGACGGGGACAGGGACCAGAGGACUAAGGGAGGCAGCAGAAGGGAACGGGAGGCAAUGGGGGAAAGCCUGACGGAGCAAGGCCGCGUGAGUGAAGAAGGAUUUCGGUGCGUAAAGAUCUGUUGUUAGGGAAGAAUGAGUGUGUAGUAAGUAUAAACAGGAGAGACGGUACCGAACCAGAAAGCCACGGCUAACUACGUG
rnacentral:rRNA from 1 species